UGUAGUGCUCCCCUCCUCAGUAGUAGGAGCCCCCACACCUGGCUGCUAGUGGUUUAUUUGUAAAUAUCAGUCCUCUGGUUUUGUUCUUCUUCGAGAUUUUUGGGGCUGUACUGGCUCUCUUGUGCUUCCAUACUAGAUUUAAGAUUAGGGUGUCAACUGCUAUGUUCUCAGAAUUGUGCAUUGUUAGUGGGGCAGAUUGUCGUCUUAACAACGCCCAAUGUUCUGGUCUGUGAUCAGAAACCAUCUUUCUUUCCAUUCACCUACAAGGUCUAAUUUCAGCCAUGUUUUCCAUGUGUAAGUUUUACAUUUCUUUUUAAGUUUAUGCCCAAGUAUUUUUUCAUAAUAUA